rnacentral:rRNA from 1 species
UACGGAGGGUGCUAGCGUUGUUCGGAAUUACUGGGCGUAAAGGGCGCGUAGGCGGCCGUUUGCGUCGGAUGUGAAAGCCCGGGGCUCAACCUCGGAACGGUCAAGUGAUACUGUCGGACUAGAGUACAGAAGGGGCAACUGGAAUUCUCGGUGUAGCGGUGAAAUGCGUAGAUAUCGAGAGGAACACCUGCGGCGAAGGCGGGUUGCUGGGCUGAUACUGACGCUGAGGCGCGAAAGCCAGGGGAGCGAACGGG